AGAAGUCACCGGGAAACCUAAGUCUAUGGGUUCCGGGGGAAGUAUGGUUGCAAAGCUGAAACUUAAAGGAAUUGACGGAAGGGCACCACCAGGAGUGGAGCCUGCGGCUUAAUUUGACUCAACACGGGAAAUCUCACCCGGUCCGGACACUGUGAGGAUUGACAGAUUGAUAGCUCUUUCUUGAUUCGGUGGGUGGUGGUGCAUGGCCGUUCUUAGUUGGUGGAGCGAUUUGUCUGGUUAAUUCCGUUAACGAACGAGACUCUUACCUGCUAAAUAGUACAUUUGUGUUAAAUCGCAAAUGCUGACUUCUUAGAGGAAUAAAUAGCGUUUAGCUAAAUGAAAUGGAGCAAUAACAGGUCUGUGAUGCCCUUAGAUGUCCGGGGCCGCACGCGCGCUACAAUGGCAGUACCAGCGAGUUUUAUUCCUAGCUAGAAAUGGCCGGGUAACCUGCUGAAUCACUGUCGUGUCAGGAAUAGUGGAUUGAAAUUUUCCCACUUGAACGAGGAAUUCCUAGUAAGCGCAAGUCACUAGCUUGCGCUGAUUACGUCCCUGCCCUUUGUACACACCGCCCGUCGCUACUACCGAUUGAAUGGUUUAGUGAGAUCGUUGGAUUCUGAUCUAAGAAAUGGAAACAUUUCUAUGAUUGGGAAAAGACAAUCAAA
rnacentral:rRNA from 2 species